AAUCAACGCUGGCGGCGUGCCUCAGACAUGCAAGUCGAACGAUUAAAGCUCUCUUCGGAGAGUGCAUAGAGUGGCGCACGGGUGAGUAACACGUAAGUAAUCUACCUUUGAGUGGGGAAUAACCCGGGGAAACCCGAGCUAAUACCGCAUAAUGCAGCGGCAUCGCAAGAUGACAGUUGUUAAAGAUUUUAUCGCUUGAAGAGGAGCUUGCGGCAGAUUAGCUAGCUGGUAAGGUAAUGGCUUACCAAGGCUACGAUCUGUAACCGGUCUUAGAGGACGGUCGGUCACACUGACACUGAAUAACGGGUCAGACUCCUACGGGAGGCAGCAGU
rnacentral:rRNA from 1 species